UAGGGAAUCUUGGACAAUGGGCGAAAGCCUGAUCCAGCCAUGCCGCGUGAGUGAUGAAGGUCUUAGGGUUGUAAAGCUCUUUCGCCAGGGAAGAUAAUGACGGUACCUGGAUAAGAAGCCCCGGCUAACGUCGUGCCAGCAGCCGCGGUAAUACGAAGGGGGCUAGCGUUGUUCGGAAUUACUGGGCGUAAAGCGCACGUAGGCGGCUUUCCAAGUUGGAGGUGAAAUCCCCGGGCUUAACCCGGGAACUGCCUCCAAAACUGAAAGGCUAGAGUCCGAGAGAGGUGAGUGGAAUUUCCAGUGUAGAGGUGAAAUUCGUAGAUAUUGGAAAGAACACCAGUGGCGAAGGCGGCUCACUGGCUCGGUACUGACGCUGAGGUGCGACAGCGUGGGGAGCAAACA
rnacentral:rRNA from 1 species